rnacentral:lncRNA from 1 species
GUUUUUGUGUCUUUUGGGAUGUCCUGUAGAAUACUGAGACUUUGUUGCCUAUCUUAGCUUGAACUAUNAUGUUUGUGCUUGUUGUGAUCCUGUUUUGAGUGGUAGGAACAUNCACGAGUUUCUCCCGUUUUGCAUUAGGUUAACCUACUCCGGUCUUAUAGGUAGACCUUCUUCUUGAGAGUUAGGUCGAGAUCAUGGAGGUGAUAUCUUCUUCUCUAGGCCAGUCAGCUUCUGUUAGAGUUCUUGAAGGUCCACUUGAUGUUGAGUGCGUANGGCUACAAGCUCGGCAUCAUAGCACCUAUAUUGUUCUUCUUUAUGUUGGAUUAGAGUUUGCAUUUGAUAUUGGAANGCCAUCAA